rnacentral:tRNA from 1 species
GGGCCUGUAGCUCAGCCCGGUUAGAGCGCUUCCCUGAUAAGGAAGAGGUCGAUGGUUCAAGUCCAUCCAGGCCCA